GAUGAAGAACGCAGCGAAAUGCGAUAAGUAAUGUGAAUUGCAGAAUUCAGUCAAUCAUCGAAUCUUUGAACGCACAUUGCGCCCGUCAGUAUUCUGGCGGGCAUGCCUGUUCGAGCGUCAUUACGCCCCUCAAGUCCCCUGUGGACUUGGUGUUGGGGAUCGGCGAGGCUGGUUUUCCAGCACAGCCGUCCCUUAAAUUAAUUGGCGGUCUCGCCGUGGCCCUCCUCUGCGCAGUAGUAAAACACUCGCAACAGGAGCCCGGCGCGGUCCACUGCCGUAAAACCCCCCAACUUUUUAUAGUUGACCUCGAAUCAGGUAGGACUACCCGCUGAACUUAAGCAUAUCAAUAAGCGGAGGA
rnacentral:misc_RNA from 1 species